AUACGAAGGGCCCAAGCGUUAAUCGGAAUCACUGGGCUUAAAGCGUACGUAGGCGGACUCGCAGGCACCUUGUGAUAUCCCUCGGCUCAACCGAGGAACUGCUUGGUGAACCGCGCGUCUUGAGGCAAGUAGGGGCUGUCGGAACGAUAGGUGGAGCGGUGAAAUGCGUUGAUAUCUAUCGGAACGCCGAAGGCGAAGGCAGACAGCUGGGCUUGUUCUGACGCUGAGGUACGAAAGCGUGGGGAGCGAACGGGAUUAGAUACCCCUGUAGUCC
rnacentral:rRNA from 1 species